rnacentral:rRNA from 1 species
UAAAAAAAGGUAAGCUACUAAGAGCGAAUGGUGGAUGCCUUGACUGGUAAAGGCGAUGAAGGACGUACUAGACUGCGAUAAGCUACGGGGAGCUGUCAAGAAGCUUUGAUCCGUAGAUUUCCGAAUGGGGCAACCCAAUGUAUAGAGAUAUACAUUACCUAUAUAGGAGCGAACGAGGGGAAUUGAAACAUCUUAGUACCCUCAGGAAAAGAAAUCAAUAGAGAUUGCGUCAGUAGCGGCGAGCGAAAGCGCAAGAGGGCAAACCCAGUGCUUGCACUGGGGGUUGUAGGACUGCAAU